UAAGGAAUAUUGGUCAAUGGACGCAAGUCUGAACCAGCCAUGCCGCGUGAAGGAUGAAGGUCCUCUGGAUUGUAAACUUCUUUUAUCUGGGACGAAAACGGGAUUUUUAUCUCAAUUGACGGUACCAGAGGAAUAAGCAUCGGCUAACUCCGUGCCAGCAGCCGCGGUAAUACGGAGGAUGCAAGCGUUAUCCGGAUUCAUUGGGUUUAAAGGGUGCGUAGGCGGGGCGGUAAGUCAGUGGUGAAAGCCUGCAGCUUAACUGUAGAAUUGCCAUUGAUACUGUCGCUCUUGAACGCGGUUGAGGCAGGCGGAAUGUGUAAUGUAGCGGUGAAAUGCUUAGAUAUUACACAGAACACCGAUUGCGUAGGCAGCUUGCUAAACCGUGAUUGACGCUGAGGCACGAAAGCGUGGGGAGCAAACA
rnacentral:rRNA from 1 species